AGUACAUUAUUUUCUUUAGGAAUGUAGUGAAGUAAAAGUAAAAUUUGUCAAAUUUAAAUAGUAAAGUACGGAUACCCCAAAAAACGACUUAAGUAGUAGUUUAAAGUAAUUUUACUUAAGUACUUUACACCUCUGCAUCAGACCCAUCUCUCUGUGAUGUUCCCUGUGGUUUCUGGCUCUCACACAAUAAACAACAAGGCCUCUGUUCUGUUUCUUACACAAACAUAAGAGGACCUGGUAGCUUAUUCUACUUAUUGCACUUUUGUGACCCCGUUGUCUGCAGAUCUACCAGAUCUACCUCAGCUCCUGUAGCUCCAGCCUGAGGGGCUCCCAUGGCCACCCUGUCUGUCCCUAUCCUCCUCUGCCUCUGUAAAGAUUAGCCUUGAAGUUGGUCUCCCCUCAGCCACAAAGCGCUGUUCUAUUGACUGGUUCCAGGGAGAGUAUUGAUGGCUCCAAAAUUUGGGCAAGGGAACACAAAAAGGCUGACCCCCGCUGGGCUCAGCACGACAGCCGAGUCAGCAGGGAGGCUUGCAUUUAUUAGCCUGGGAGAGGAGCUCCUGCAGAAUUAAAGCACAUUCACCCAUCCAUUGAUCUCUGUCACGAAAACAAUACCCGCCCCUCUCUGGCAGGGAGCUAGGCGCUGCACGGCUCUGAGGUAAUGUACUGUAGCAGCCAUUGAAAACAAGAUGCCUCACACCCUCGGGCUCCAAGUAAACUGUCUGAAAAGUGAGAGGAAUGGGAUGAGAAUAACACAUUGGAUUAUCAAUCCACCUGUCCAAUUGUGUUUGCAGUGAAUGGUGAAUAAAAUGUGGAGGGAUGUGAA